rnacentral:rRNA from 1 species
GAUGAACGCUGGCGGCGUGCCUAAAACAUGCAAGUCGAGCGGCAGCGAGGGGUGCUUGCACCCUGUCGGCGAGCGGCGGACGGCUGAGUAACGCGUAGGAACAUACCCCAAAGUGAGGGAUAACUGCUCGAAAGAGUAGCUAAUACCGCAUGUGGUCUAAGGAUUAAAGCUUUAUGUGCUUUGGGAAUGGCCUGCGUCUGAUUAGUUUGUUGGUGAGGUAAUGGCUUACCAAGACUACGAUCAGUAGCUGGUCUGAGAGGAUGAUCAGCCAGACUGGGACUGAGACACGGCCCAGACUCCUACGGGAGGCAGCAGUUAGGAAUUUUCCACAAUGGGCGAAAGCCUGAUGGAGCAACGCCGCGUGCAGGAUGAAUGCCUUCGGGUUGUAAACUGCUUUUAUAUGUGACGAUUAUGACGGUAGCAUAUGAAUAAGGAUCGGCUAACUCCGUGCCAGCCGCCGCGGUAA